rfam:Jeotgalibacillus soli Cunha et al. 2012 strain P9 contig00009, whole genome shotgun sequence.
UGGUGAAGCCUACUUGCCUUUAUCUAAGUAGGCACUCGGUCAUGCUGUGGGUUGAAAGAUACCUUAGACGCAAGUCGUCGAAAGUGUGGUGUGAGGAUGGGUUGGAUGCCCA